GGGGGGUGCGGACCGGGACCCUCCUCAACCUUCUUGACGGGCGGGGUGGGAGGGAGGUGUUAGCCAGCAGAGGCAUUCAACGCCCCCCAAGCAACAGGCGAGGGGGACACGGGGGAACCAGCAGGCUAACUUAAUCAAGGGAGGAAACAUUUAUUUAAUCAUUUCAACAUCUCUUUCAGAAAUGAAAAGACAUUGUCAGCGUAGCCAUUUUUGUUUUCUUUUUUUAUUUAAUUUUUCAUUCGAGCUCUCCAGCGACUCUACUGAGUGGACAUUUGAAUCAAAAUGCAGGAAAAAAAACAAUGCAAAACUUUGUAAAUGCUUCUGUCGUUUAAUUGUGGUAAAAUCAUGGCUUUAUACUUACCGGGGGAUAGUGCUGAUUGAGAGUCCGAUUUCAGUUAAGAGAUUUUAAAUCUAUUCGUAUCGACCGGAAAGUGCCACUCAGAGAUAAGUGUAGGGGGAGGGAGUGUAGAACUAGAGAGAAUGAUACCGACCAUAGAAUUGAUAUGGGGGUGGUUCUAAAAUAGCGUAGUGGGCAUAGAAAUGACAUUAAAAUUCUCAAAGAAAACAACAUAGCAGCUGUCCUCAACUGCCAGGACAGCUGCUAGCCAAGCAACCACAACAGAGGUAAUAGAGUAAAGAUAUUAUCAUAUGAUAUUAUCAUAUUUAUCUAACCAGCUAUUUUUUUGGGGGGGGGGACAGACACUGCCUUUGCAUAUCUUCGAAUAACAAUAGCCUGUCUUUUAUUGUAGUCAUCAAUCAAAGCAAUUGCGUUGAGUUAAUGAAAGAAAAAUUGGUAGUGGCAUAUUUAAAGUAAUAGAGUAAUAAACAGUAUUUUUAUGGCAGGUCAGAAGCUGUGUUGAAUAAACCAUUCAGUCAAACACGUCAGACAGAAAGAGUGCAUAUGAUUCUAUAUUUGUUGUGGUUGAAAGUGACUUGUCUUAAAAACAGGAACAUAACUAAGUAGCAUGCUUACAUCAAAGUGGGAAGUGGGUAAGGAGGGUGUAUAUCAGUAGAGUGAUCUGUGUGUUGCAUCAUCAGAUAGUUGUGGUAUUUCUUGCAUAGCCUUGUGAUAAGGUUUCUUAAACAAACAUGUAGUUUGUCCUUUUUCAGUUUUCUGUCCGCCCACCACCCCCUAUGUUUACCAGAGGUUUUCCAGUCAGUGUCUAGCAUGAACUGGGUUUACAUACAUACAAUAUAGAAACAUACAAGUCUGAUAUUGAUAUUCUCAUCUAGUUGAAUCCAUAUACUGUAGCAGGGUUUUGGUUGUGAUUCUAAAAAGAGACCUUGAACACUGCUACAUACAUGUUAAAACUCUGAGGUAAACUCUCAGGCUGCCUCUGUCCUGUGGUGUGGAAGUGACGUGUUCUGUGUGCAUGGAUGUUUUACUAGCUGCCAUAAUAUCAGCUUUCCUGACCCCAUAUUGUUUUAAAUAUCAAAUUCUGUCUUUCUCACAUUUGUGAAAACAGUACUUGGGCUCGAUUGUGGCAACGUAAGACUAUAUUGUUUAACAGUGUCAAAGGGAGGGGGGUAUGGAAACCGCAUACAGGGAUUUAGCUGAAAAUGUUCACCCUUUUGUUAUUAGGACUGUAACACAAGUCCUCCUGUCUUGAUAGUGUGUCUGUCUGUGACCUUUGUUGGUUGUCAAUCCAAAACUCAACAGUAAGCAAUUGUAAAAAAAAAAAAAAAAAAGAAAAAAAAAAGUUUUAUGUACUGUGGUUUUUUUAUUAUUGUUGUUGGUUUGCUUUUUUUGUGAAAAGCAUGAUCUUUGAGGAUGAUUGUAAUGACUGUUUUGAAUGCAAGGUAUUCGAAUGCUUGAUUCCUUGCAUGUUGGUGGUCCUUUUACAUCCCAAACUAGACAGGGGAGGUGCAUUUCAAUUGAACUAAAAAGUUAAGGAAAUUCUUAUUUCUUCACUACCCCAUUUCGCUGACAUACAAUAUCAGACUUUUAUUUUGAAAGUUCAACUUUUAUCUCAUACAUACCUGCAGGACGAUUUUCCCCUUAACCUAUAACCCACGUGCACAUGUAUUGUUUGUUUUCUUGUUAAAUACUGUGAAGUUAGAACUUAAAGAAAAAAUAUGUUUUUUGUUCCUUUUUGUUUUGGUGUGUUAUUCUUUUGGCUCCGUAAAGUGCAAAAGUCUUGAGGUAGUUGAUUGCCUGAAUGUAUCCCAUGGUGGGUGGGAAUACAGUUUUAUGCCCAGCCAACCAAUCAGAUUCACUCUGCAGGUCAGAGUAAUUGUUGCAGUAUUUUGUCUGCCUAGCAGGGCAUAUUAAAAGCACUUGUUCAGACAGAAAAUGUAUUCUGCACACUGUAGUAGACUCACACAAUCACGUACUGAUAUAGUAUUUGUUUACAGGAGAUUUAUACCACGAAACACCUCAUGUAGUAUUACUUCACUGAGUAUUCAAUAUUGUGUAGUCCUUUUCUUUGUGUGUGUGUAUGUAUGUAUAUGUGUGUAUAUAUAUGUGUAUAUACAUAUGUAUAUACAUAUGUGUAUAUAUAUGUAAAUACAUGUGUGUAUAUAUAUGUAAAUACAUGUGUGUGUAUGUGUAUAUACAUAUGUAUAUACAUAUGUAUACAUAUAUAUAUACGUGUGUGUGUGUGUACGUGUGUGUGUGUGUAUAUAUAUAUAUAUACACACACGUGUGUGUGUGUGUAUAUAUGUAUUUACAUAUAUAUAUGUAUGUAUAUAUGUAUUUACAUAUAUAUAUGUAUGUAUAUAUAUAUGUAUUUAUACAUAUAUAUACACGUGUGUAUAUAUAUGUGUAUACAUAUGUAUACAUACGUGUGUGUGUGUGUGUAUGUAUAUGUAUUUACAUAUGUAUAUAUAUAUAUACACGUGUGUGUGUGUGUAUAUAUAUAUGUGUGUGUAUAUAUAUGUAUUUACAUAUAUGUGUAUGUAUAUAUGUUUUUACAUAUGUAUAUAUGAAUGUAUGUGUCAGUGUAUGUACACAGUAUAUGUAUAUAUAUUUUAUUUUACCUUUAUUUAACUAGGCAAGUCAGUUAAGAACAAAUUCUUAUUUUCAAUGACGGCCUAGGAACAGUGGGUUAACUGCCUGUUCAGGGGCUGAACGACAGAUUUGUACCUUGUCAGCUCGUGGGUUUGAACUUGCAACCUUCCGGUUACUAGUCCAACGCUCUAACCACUAGGCUACCCUGCCGCCCCAUACAUACACAUAGGUGUGUAUACGUAUGUAUGUAUAUAUACGUAUGUAUGUAUAUAUACGUGUGUAUGUAUAUAUACGUGUGUAUGUAUGUAUGUAUGUAUGUAUGUAUGUAUGUAUGUAUGUAUGUAUGUAUGUAUGUAUGUAUGUGUACAUACACCUACACAGUUGAAGUCGGAAGUUUACAUACACCUUAGCCAAAUACAUUUAAAUUCAGUUUUUCACAAUUCUUGACAUUUAAUCCGAGUAAAAAUUCCCUGUCUUAAGUUAGGUAGGAUCACCAUUUUAUUUUAAUAAAGUGAAAUGUCAGAAUAAUAAUAGAGUGAUUUAUUUCAGCUUUUAUUUCUUUCAUCACAUUCCCAGUUUGUCAGAAGUUUACAUACACUCAAUUAGUAUUUGGUAAAAUUGCCUUUAAAUUGUUUAACUUGGGUCAAACUUUUAGGGUAGCCUUCCACAAGCUUCCCACAAUAAGUUGGGUGAAUUUUGUCCCAUUCCUCCUGACAGAGCUGGUGUAACUAAGUCAGGUUUGUAGGCCUCCAUGCUCACACACGCUUUUUCAGUUCUGCCCAUACAUUUUCUUUUGGAUUGAGGUCAGGGCUUUGUGAUGGCCACUCCAAUACCUUGACUUUGUUGUCCUUAAGCCAUUUUACCACAACUUUGGAAGUACGCUUGUGGUCAUUGUCCAUUUGGAAGACCCAUUUGCGACCAAGCUUUGACUUUCUGACUGAUUUGAGAUGUUGCUUCAAUAUAUCCACAUAAUUUUCCUCCUCAUGAUGCCAUUUAUUUUGUGAAGUGCACCAGUCCCUCCUGCAGCAUUGCACCCCCACAACAUGAUGCUGCCACCCCCAUGCUUCACGGUUGGGAUGGUAUUCUUUGGCUUGCAAGCCUCCCCCUUUUUCCUCCAAACAUGAUGAUGGUCAUUAUGGCCAAAAAGUUCUAUUUUUGUUUGAUCAAACCAGAGGACAUUUCUCCAAAAAGUAUGAUCUUUGUCCCCAUGUGCAGUUCAAACUCUAGUCCGGCUUUUUUAUGGCAGUUUUGGAGCAUUUGCUUCUUCCUUGCUGAGCGGCCAUUCAGGUUAUGUCGUUAUAGGACUCGUUUUUACUGUGGAUUUACAUUUUUGCACCCGUUUCCUCCAGCAUCUUCACAAGGUCCUUUGCUGCUGUCUGGGAUUGAUUUGCACUUAUCGCACCAAAGUACGAUCACUUCUAGGAGACAGAACGUGUCUCCUUCCUGAGCGGUAUGAUGGCUGCGUGGUCCCACGCAGCCAUCAUACGCAGGUGUUUAUACUUGCGUACUAUUGUUUGUACAGAUGAGCGUGGAACCUUCAGGCGUUUGGAAAUUGCUCCCAAGGAUGAACCAGACUUGUGGAGGUCUGAUUGGCUGAUUUCUUUUGAUUUUUUUCUUUUGAUUUUCCCAUGAUGUCAAGCAAAGAGGCACUGAGUUUGAAGGUAGGCCUUGAAAUACAUCCACAGGUACACCUCCAAUUGAAUCAAAUUAUGUCAAUUAGCCUAUCAGAUGCUUCUGAAGCCAUGAUGUUUUCUGGAAUUUUCCAAGCUGUUUAAAGGCACAAUCAACUUAGUGUAUGUAAACUUCUGACCCACUGGAAUUGUGAUACAAUGAAUUAUAAGUGAAAUAAUCUGUCUGUAAACAAUUGUUGGAAAAAUUACUUGUCAUGCACAAAGUAGGUGUCCUAACCGACUUGCCAAAACUAGUUUGUGAACAAGAAAUUUGUGGAGUGGUUGAAAAACAAUUUUUAAUGACUCCAACCUAAGUGUAUGGAAACUUCCAGUGUGUGUGUUUGACCUGUUUUUAAAGAUAAGAUUCCCAAUAUCUUAAAUUCUCUAAAAGAUAAUUGGCGUGAACUAAGCCUGGAGAUGAAAUACUGCAGACGCUCAUGUAUUGCCACAAAACCUUUCCAAAGCCAACAAUCUUUAACUUAGAUGAAUAGGUAAUUAAAAUAAAAUAUAUUUAAGUCUCCUUGAAUCUUUAUUAUACGGUGUAUUUAUUUUUAAAAAUUAAUUGGAUGGUUGUGUUGAACAUAAUUAGACAUUUUAACACUUGUAACAACAAAAACAUGGGUAUUUCAAGUUAGCCUGGAUCCAAACUGAAUUGCUCUUUUUUUCACCAGGCUAAUAUCAAGUAGCACAAAAAGACGGAAUGGGAUAUAUGGAGGCGCUUGUUUCUGUAGUUCUUGUUUUUGUGCCACACCUUUGUCCUGGAGUGGACAUUACUUUGUCUUUGUCACAUUCCAGCUGUUUGGCAUGUCAAAAAUUGGAGGACGCAUGGCUUGAUUGGUUCUGUCCUUAUCACACUGAAUUAAAAACAACAAAAACAUUUAGGGCCUGUUUCCCAGACACAUUUUAAACGUAGUGCUAAGCUUAAUUUGUGUCCAGGAAACCGUCCCAAGAAAAUAUGAAAAGAAAAAUACAUAGAACAAUCACUGUUUGUGUGCCGUCUUAAUGACAUAGCCGCUCCAUUAUAGCCGCUGCUAUAAUGUGUAGCUUCUGUACUUGAAUAUUUGUUUGUAGUAUCCUCAGGAGGUCUGUGUUUACCGUUAUUGUUUCCAAAUGUAUGCCUUUUUCCAUCUCCCUUUACCGAUAAGAGGUUAUUAAGCCUGCGCUAACCCUAAACUACAGAGGAUGUUCCUGUCUAUGGGUGUUCAGUUCACUAAUGUUUGAUAUGUGUGCUAACUCACAAUAAGGCACUGAGAUGUACACACAUCCAGGGUCAGUGUGAAAUAAUAAUUGUAACUAGGUAAGCUCAUGCAUUCAAAUUUAGCUAUAAUUUGGAGGAAUAAGAAUAUACAAUUGGGAAGAGUUAACUUGCACAUAAUGAAUGCAACUGUGGCAAAGUGAUUGUAAGACAUGUCUAGAUAGUUAAUGUAAUAUGUACAUGAUGCCUUGAUGAUAACUGAAUGAUUUAGCUGGGGAUUCGUAAUGGCUGGUCAUUUUCAAUAAUGAAAAAAGACCUUGCACAUUAGGCCAAACGCAAAUAUGCUCAUGGCGUCUUACAGCUAUGUUUGCGUUUUUGAAGUCUUUAAUUUUGAAGAACGGGGGGAAAUCUUUUAAAAAUCAUAGUCUAUUAGAAUAUCUCCUCUAAAGAGUGACUGCCCCUAAAAGCAAAUUCUUGUUUUGAAAACAGCUAUUUUGGCAUCUAUGAGUCAAACAUUUAUUCUAAUCAAAAUUGACUACAAGGUGUAAAUAGGAUAAUUUUGGUCAUAAAGUCAGUCUCAUCCAUAACAGAUUUGCGAGAUGACGGUGAAAAACGUGUCAUGGAUUGAAGGGUCCCAUAAAUUCAUUAGGUUUGGGUUUUUUCAAUCCUGCAGCAGACAGCAUCCAAGUAAUCAUCAUUUCGUAGCACAGCUGCACUGACCCUAUCGUAAUGCGCAUGGUCCAUUUGGUUUGACAUUCGAUAUCCCUAUGAGGCUAGUUAGGGUACAUCAGUAAAUUACACAAUGUAAAUCAGAAAAUAUUUUAAAAGGUCAAUAGCUUCACAUCUCAAUUACUUAACCUCAAAUGACUAUAAAUGGUAGAAAUUCUAAUACAAAUAUAAAAAAACAUUUAAUGAGACAACUAAAAAUGUGGAACAAUAAAAUAUUUUCCCAUUUACAUUGUAAUUUAUUGGUGGUCACUAAAUAGCCCCAGAGAUGGGCUAUCCAUUGUCAAACCAACUUUGCCAGGGUCACACACUAGCCUGCUGAAGCUAAUUGGAGAAAGAAGUUGGCUAGUGCUAGCUAGCCUAGGUGACUUCAAGACACACGACCUGGUUAGGCUGUUUCAAGUUAUCUAACAGAGUGAAUGUACAAACGCUUGCCGCAUGCGAACACCCACGAGACAUCCACAUUAAACCACCCCCUCCAAGACUACUCUUUUGGCUUCAGUCAUGGCCGCUGCAUUUCUUAAUGACCAAAACAAAAAAUUAGGCCAAAUCAGGAAUUUCAGCCCCCCUUUAAAGAACACCUGUAACAAUAGCCUGUGACUUUCAUUUAGCCAUAAGAAAAAAACUUUACAAGAAUUUCUCCAAGUCUGCCUUCACCCGUUUUUGCUGAAUAAUGUGAGAGAAACUUCUUCUUUUUGGAAUAGUGAAUAUGGUUUAAGUUGUUUUUAUAAACUGCUGAAUUUUAAGGUUAAAUAAUAAGAAUAAUUUAGGGGGCCACCAAAUAUUUUGGAUCAUGUGAAGAAUCUUUAUUGUACUGUAGUGAUUUUGUAAUGAUAUUUGUAUAAAGAUGUGAUGGAUGUGAAUGGUAGUCACUGCUUGGAUCUGUACAUUGUUGAG
ensembl:lncRNA